rnacentral:rRNA from 1 species
ACGAACGCUGGCGGCGUGCCUAAUACCUGCAAGUAGAACGCACAGUUUAUACCGUAGCUUGCUACACCAUAGACUGUGAGUUGCGAACGGGUGAGUAACGCGUAGGUAACCUGCCUGGUAGCGGGGGAUAACUAUUGGAAACGAUAGCUAAUACCGCAUAAUAUUAAUUAUUGCAUGAUAAUUAAUUGAAAGGUGCAAUUGCACCACUACCAGAUGGACCUGCGUUGUAUUAGCUAGUAGGUGAGGUAACGGCUCACCUAGGCGACGAUACAUAGCCGACCUGAGAGGGUGAUCGGCCACACUGGGACUGAGACACGGCCCAGACUCCUACGGGAGGCAGCAGUAGGGAAUCUUCGGCAAUAGACGAAAGUCUGACCGAGCAACGCCGCGUGAGUGAAGAAGGUUUUCGGAUCGUAAAGCUCUGUUGUAAGAGAAGAACGGGUGUGAGAGUGGAAAGUUCACACUGUGACGGUAUCUUACCAGAAAGGGACGGCUAACUACGUG